rnacentral:rRNA from 2 species
UCNACGAACUCUGGUAUUGAUUGGUGCUUGCAUAUGAUUUACAUUUGAGUGAGUGGCGAACUGGUGAGUAACACGUGGGAAACCUGCCCAGAAGCGGGGGAUAACACCUGGAAACAGAUGCUAAUACCGCAUAACAACUUGGACCGCAUGGUCCGAGUUUGAAAGAUGGCUUCGGCUAUCACUUUUGGAUGGUCCCGCGGCGUAUUAGCUAGAUGGUGGGGUAACGGCUCACCAUGGCAAUGAUACGUAGCCGACCUGAGAGGGUAAUCGGCCACAUUGGGACUGAGACACGGCCCAAACUCCUACGGGAGGCAGCAGUAGGGAAUCUUCCACAAUGGACGAAAGUCUGAUGGAGCAACGCCGCGUGAGUGAAGAAGGGUUUCGGCUCGUAAAACUCUGUUGUUAAAGAAGAACAUAUCUGAGAGUAACUGUUCAGGUAUUGACGGUAUUUAACCAGAAAGCCACGGCUAACUACGUGCCAGCAGCCGCGGUAAUACGUAGGUGGCAAGCGUUGUCCGGAUUAUUGGGCGUAAGCGAGCCCAGGCNGNUUUUUAAGUCUG